UAAUGGCAUUGAGGUGGUUAUAGGACUGGGAACGGGCUGCAAUAUUGGAACGGCUGCUCUUCUGACUCCGUGGACCGUGGAAAAGAGAGAUAUUGCGGUCGGAUCGGCUGCCGUGACUCAAUUCCGCUUUUUAGGCAGUACAAUAGUUGUCGCUAUCAUCACAGCGAUAGGAAACAGUUGGGCCGCCAAAAAUGUCUUUCUGGAUCAUCUGACGCCAGUUCAGCUAUCAGCAAUAUUUAGGUCAACAGAAGCCAUCAAUGACCUCCCUGAAGACCUGGAAGCGUUUGUGAGAAAAGACCUUCGUUCGAAGUUUUAAUUUUCAAAUGAGCAUAGUUCUAGGCCUUUCAGUUGCUGGCAUGUUUACCUGGCUGUUAAUGUGGCAGAAGACUCAGACUAGAGUUCCUUAGUAAAUAAGUUAGCUAGUGAUCACACAAUGAGA
rnacentral:sRNA from 2 species